UACGAAGGGGGCUAGCGUUGUUCGGAAUUACUGGGCGUAAAGGGCGCGUAGGCGGCUGUCCAAGUCAGAUGUGAAAGCCCCGGGCUUAACCUGGGAAUUGCAUUUGAGACUGGCGGCUUGAGUUUCGGAGAGGUGGGUGGAAUUCCCAGUGUAGAGGUGAAAUUCGUAGAUAUUGGGAAGAACACCGGUGGCGAAGGCGGCCCACUGGACGAACACUGACGCUGAGGCGCGAAAGCGUGGGGAGCGAACAGG
rnacentral:rRNA from 1 species